rnacentral:rRNA from 1 species
UGUGAACAUACCUUCUGUUGCCUCGGCAGGCCUCGCCUACCCUCGUAGCCCCCUACACCGUAGGGCCUACGCCGGGUGGUGCGCGGACCCUGCCGGCGGCCCGCGAAACUCUGUUUAGCACUGAAUCUCUGAACAUAUAACUAAAUAAGUUAAAACUUUCAACAACGGAUCUCUUGGUUCUGGCAUCGAUGAAGAACGCAGCGAAAUGCGAUAAGUAAUGUGAAUUGCAGAAUUCAGUGAAUCAUCGAAUCUUUGAACGCACAUUGCGCCCAUUAGUAUUCUAGUGGGCAUGCCUGUUCGAGCGUCAUUUCAACCCUUAAGCCCCUGUUGCUUAGCGUUGGGAGCCUACGGCAGCGUAGCUCCCCAAAGUUAGUGGCGUGGUCGGUUCACACUCCAGACGUAGUAGAUUUUCGUCUCGCCUGUAGUUGGACCGGUCCCCUGCCGUAAAACACCCCAAUUCUAAAAGGUUGACCUCGGAUCAGGUAGGAAUACCCGCUGAACUUAAGCAUAUCAA